AGUGAACGCUGGCGGUAGGCCUAACACAUGCAAGUCGAACGGCAGCACAGUAAGAGCUUGCUCUUACGGGUGGCGAGUGGCGGACGGGUGAGGAAUACAUCGGAAUCUACUUUUUCGUGGGGGAUAACGUAGGGAAACUUACGCUAAUACCGCAUACGACCUACGGGCGAAAGCAGGGGAUCUUCGGACCUUGCGCGAUUGAAUGAGCCGAUGUCGGAUUAGCUAGUUGGCGGGGUAAAGGCCCACCAAGGCGACGAUCCGUAGCUGGUCUGAGAGGAUGAUCAGCAAUACAGGAAAGGAGCAUACGGCCAGGCUCGUGAGGGAGGAAGAGGUGGUGAUUAGUGGACAAGGGGGGCCAGACGCAGCGACCGAGGCCGUGUCGGUGAGGUAGUCUGUAGGGUUAUAAACACCUUUUGUUGGGAAAGAAAAGAAGCACGUUAACACCCUGCUGGUCUGACGCUAACAAAAGAAGAAGCACCGGCUAAUGUCGUGCCAGCAGCCGCGGUAACAAUCGCACGAGCACACCCUGAAC
rnacentral:rRNA from 1 species